GACGUAGGGCGCGAGCGUUGUCCGGAUUUAUUGGGCGUAAAGAGCUCGUAGGCGGUUCGGUAAGUCGGAUGUGAAACCUCCAGGCUCAACCUGGAGACGCCACCCGAUACUGCUGUGACUAGAGUCCGGUAGGGGAGCGUGGAAUUCCUGGUGUAGCGGUGAAAUGCGCAGAUAUCAGGAGGAACACCAGCGGCGAAGGCGGCGCUCUGGGCCGGAACUGACGCUGAGGAGCGAAAGCGUGGGGAGCAAACAGG
rnacentral:rRNA from 1 species